rnacentral:rRNA from 1 species
ACUGAACGCUGGCGGCAUGCCUUACACAUGCAAGUCGAACGGUAACAGGUCUUCGGAUGCUGACGAGUGGCGAACGGGUGAGUAAUACAUCGGAACGUGCCCGAUCGUGGGGGAUAACGAGGCGAAAGCUUUGCUAAUACCGCAUACGAUCUACGGAUGAAAGCGGGGGAUCUUCGGACCUCGCGCGGACGGAGCGGCCGAUGGCAGAUUAGGUAGUUGGUGGGAUAAAAGCUUACCAAGCCGACGAUCUGUAGCUGGUCUGAGAGGAUGAUCAGCCACACUGGGACUGAGACACGGCCCAGACUCCUACGGGAGGCAGCAGUGGGGAAUUUUGGACAAUGGGCGAAAGCCUGAUCCAGCCAUGCCGCGUGCAGGAUGAAGGCCUUCGGGUUGUAAACUGCUUUUGUACGGAACGAAAAGCCUCUUUCUAAUAAAGAGAGGUCAUGACGGUACCGUAAGAAUAAGCACCGGCUAACUACGUG